rnacentral:lncRNA from 1 species
GCUGCACUGUGUUUGUUCAUCAUCUCUUUGCUAGGCACAACUUGGGAAGGACCACAUAGGAAGUGAUCUCCUCCACUCUAUCAGCUGUCAAGGCAGCAGGCCCAUCCUCCUGGAUGCAACGUACCCAACACAAUCCUGGGGAAUUAGAGACCGUGGCCAGCUGUGAGCAACCACCAUUGGAAUAGUCCUGAGAACACAUAGAAGCCAUGAGAUUCUUCUCAAGAGAAAAAUAAAGUCUUCAGCACUGGACGACGUUUGACCGUUAUGUUUUGAAGACAGCCAUUUGAUCUUUUUGACCAUGCGUGUGUGGCCUGCCUUGCAAGAAGACAUGAACCGGAGUGCAAAGCCGGAAGAUACAUAGCCGGCGGUAGUACCAGUUGCCACAGAAGCCCAAGUAGUCGACCCCGCUCCCCGUGAGCCAGGCAAG